rnacentral:rRNA from 1 species
UACGUAGGCAGCGAGCGUUGUUCGGAGUUACUGGGCAUAAAGGGUGUGUAGGCGGUUGCUUAAGUUUGGUGUGAAAUCUCCCGGCUCAACCGGGAGGGUGCGCCGAAUACUGAGUGACUAGAGUGCGGGAGAGGAAAGUGGAAUUCCUGGUGUAGCGGUGAAAUGCGUAGAUAUCAGGAGGAACACCGGUGGUGUAGACGGCUUUCUGGACCGUAACUGACGCUGAGACGCGAAAGCGUGGGGAGCAAACAGG